rnacentral:ncRNA from 1 species
UUAUAGUCGCGCCGUCGCUGCACAUCAGCGAUCGGGUGUGGAAGCCCGGCUG